GUCAAUCCAUAAAAGGUAAUUGGCUGGUUGGCAGCUCUGUUUUACUUUGAUUUUGUUGUUGACUUGAUGAUUUUGGAUUUAUGACUACAAGCUUGGGUUCCAAGUUCAAAAGUUAGGUAGGAAAGGAUUAUGAAAGGUUGUAUGGGAGAAUUGCCAUUGUGUCCAUUGCUCCUAACUUAAAAUUCUGGUCUGAAGAUAUCUUUUGCUCGAAUACAGAUUGCAACUACAAAAUUUGAAGCAAAAUCAUCGAUUGGAAGAGGUGGGUUCUGGAAAGUCUAUAAGGAACUCUUCAAAGUAUCAAAGUGGCUGUAAAAUAAUGUGAACCAGGCAUGAGCCAGGUGGACCAGUGUCUCAUGGUGCCUUUCUCAUCCAAUGCAAAACACAUGAAGACGAGCGCCAUCAAACUUUUUCUUAGUGGAAGAAACUUUUUUUUUGGUAAACUGGAGGGGAUAAACCCCGAACACAACAGCAACUAAAAGGAAACAAGUGGAAGAAACUUUAGUCAAUUACAUGGUUCGCUUUAAGUAGAGAAAACUAAGAUACCCAAAAUAUCCUUUGUUGUAUUUGCUUAGUCUAUGAAAUAUAAGGGAUAUUUACAUAAAUUCAACCCUAAUUUCGCUUGGGAUUUUCUAUUUUCCAAUGUGCAUGGUUGAUAUUAGUAGAAUUAAAGCAUCCAUCUUAAAAUCAGUUGGCUUUAAUUUCCUGACGUGGGAUUCUCUCAACAAACAUUUAUCAACUUUAAAAGUCCGCAACUUUUCCUAUUCCAAGUCUUUGUCUUGCAUAAUUUCCAUAAUCAUUCAGCUCCAAAUUCCAUUCCCAGAUGAGCAUUGCUUCGGCUAAGAAUUAGCAAAAUUCAGUGACUCCAUUAUCUAUCAUGGAAAAUCUUCAUAACUGUAGAACCCUUGUCCCCAUGUUUUCUCUGCUUGCUCUUCUCCUCCACUUAUCAUCCUUUCACUCUCUGUCUCUAGCUUAUGAGCUCCCAGAUAAGAAUUUCAUCAAUUGUGGAUCAGAUGCUGCUAUAAACUUAACUAGCAGGACGUUCAUUGCAGAUGGUUCCUUCUCCUCACAGAAAAGCAAGGCUGUCAAAGCCAGCAACCAGCUUCCAGAUAAUAUAUCAACUCUCUACCAAACAGCAAGAAUUUUCAGCCAGCAAUCCUACUAUAAGUUUGAGAUCAGUGAAAACAGUACUUAUCUUGUACGCCUGCAUUUCUUGGCUUUCUCCUCCUCAGUUAAUCUCUCCACAGCUCUUUUUGAUGUUCUGGCUUUUCCUAAUGUUUCAACUUCUGGGUUCAAACUGUUGAGCAAUUUCACUGCUAAGAAUAGUAGCAACUCUC